AGAUUGAACGCUGGCGGCAGGCCUAACACAUGCAAGUCGAGCGGUAGAGAGGUGCUUGCAUCUCUUGAGAGCGGCGGACGGGUGAGUAAUGCCUAGGAAUCUGCCUAGUGGUGGGGGAUAACGUUCGGAAACGGACGCUAAUACCGCAUACGUCCUACGGGAGAAAGCGGGGGACCUUCGGGCCUCGCGCCAUUAGAUGAGCCUAGGUCGGAUUAGCUAGUUGGUGAGGUAAUGGCUCACCAAGGCGACGAUCCGUAACUGGUCUGAGAGGAUGAUCAGUCACACUGGAACUGAGACACGGUCCAGACUCCUACGGGAGGCAGCAGUGGGGAAUAUUGGACAAUGGGCGAAAGCCUGAUCCAGCCAUGCCGCGUGUGUAGAAGAAGGUCUUCGGAUUAGUAAAGCUACGUUUAAAGUUGGGAAGGUAAGGGUUUAGUAAACUUUAAGUACGUUAGACCUAACGUUUAGAACCGUUAACCGA
rnacentral:rRNA from 1 species